rnacentral:tRNA from 1 species
AGAAAGUUAGUCUAACCAAGACAGUUGAUUUCGACUCAACAGAUUAUAGCUACUACCCUAUAACUUUCUU